ACCUGUGCUCCAGCUGGGAGCAGCUUUCCUGUUUGUUUGUUUGUUCCUUUUUCCUUGCCAUGAUUGCAGAGAGGAAGGAAUCCGGCUCCUACCUCCCUGAAGACCUCGGGCUUGGAGAGCAAUUACUCAGCACUGCAGGCUCUGGUGGAGAAUUAAAGGGGAAAUGUCCAAGCCCUUAUUGCUCGUCAGGAGGUCACUGGGAACGAUGUUAUCACUCCACGGGGUCCCAGCACUGGCUGCAGGUGAUAUUUGGUGGGAAGAUUUGAGCUUGGACACACAAGAGCUGUUGGAAUUCCCUCCUUUUUCAUGGAUAGAGCUGCACAGCUCCGACAGCCGUAUCCCGCUGCUCCCAGUUUGCCUCCCAGAUCUUCUACCUUCUGGAACAACCUUCAAGAGCCUCAAACCCUCCUUCCCUUCCACUUGUGACCAUUGGCAUGGUGACAGCCAGCAGAUAAUAAAGAGCACAGCCCAAACCCUUGGAAAAGGCAGCACUGCUCCUGCUGGGAAUCCUUCAAUCCAUAGGUUUGUCUCCAGGAGAACCCAGAGGCCUGGGAGCUGUUUGGAAAAGAGAAUCCAAAACUCAUCCUAUCAAACCAAAUUGUCAGGAAAGGAUCCAUUUUAGCUUGCCCCUCAUUUCAUGGAUGUGGGAAAUCCACACGCAUCCCAUUUACGGCUUCGAGGAAAUUUCUCCUGGCGCGACCCAUGCUGGACAUAUGGAAUCCAUUUUCCCUCACACCUGGCCACAUAUAUUUGUUAUGAAAGGUUCACGACUCCACAGGCUGUGUGACCUAUUCCCAGGGUGAUUGGAGCUAAAUGUGUUUCCUGCUCUCCCAAAUUCCAUAUAAACC